CAGCUGUGACUUAUACAGGAACUGGAAAAUCGGAGAAAACCAAAGCUUUUACAAAUCCAACAGAGAAGACUACGACUUGUGGAUCUGGGAAACCCAUAGAGCUGGUGGAAUUCUGCAUGGCUCAGAACUAAACCCCAAAAAUGCUGUGAAACCUGGGAAGAGCUGCAGCAACAAUUUACUAUUAAAAUGCAUUUCUUUUUAAACAAUUUAUUUGUAAUGUACAGUAAACACAUUUUUAUAUAAAAAAAAA